AUUGAACGCUGGCGGCAGGCCUAACACAUGCAAGUCGAGCGGAUGAGGGUAGCUUGCUACCUGAUUCAGCGGCGGACGGGUGAGUAAUGCCUAGGAAUCUGCCUGGUAGUGGGGGACAACGUUUCGAAAGGAACGCUAAUACCGCAUACGUCCUACGGGAGAAAGUGGGGGAUCUUCGGACCUCACGCUAUCAGAUGAGCCUAGGUCGGAUUAGCUAGUUGGUGGGGUAAAGGCUCACCAAGGCGACGAUCCGUAACUGGUCUGAGAGGAUGAUCAGUCACACUGGAACUGAGACACGGUCCAGACUCCUACGGGAGGCAGCAGUGGGGAAUAUUGGAUAAUGGGCGCAAGCCUGAUCCAGCCAUGCCGCGUGUGUGAAGAAGGUCUUCGGAUUGUAAAGCACUUUAAGUUGGGAGGAAGGGCAGUAAGUUAAUACCUUGCUGUUUUGACGUUACCGACAGAAUAAGCACCGGCUAACUCUGUGCCUGC
rnacentral:rRNA from 1 species